AUUUAUGCAGAGGUCCUGCAGCAGGGAGAUCCUGAAUGUUGGACCCUGUCGGUGGAACGUCAUUAAUCAGAGGAUAAUGGACAGGAAGGCACCUGCUACGGAGCUCUACUAAUAUCACUAGAAGCUGCAAGUGGCUGAAGCAGGCAGAGGCACCCAGGUUUUGUAGACUAUAAAAUCACUAUCACAAAAUGUCUGCAAAGCACACACAACCUGCAAGAUGCUUGUAAGUAUCAGACGGAGUGGCUAGAUUUCUACUCCAGAGCUGCAAGCCCUCCUAAUUCCA